rnacentral:misc_RNA from 1 species
GAUGAAGAACGCAGCGAAAUGCGAUAAGUAAUGUGAAUUGCAGAAUUCAGUGAAUCAUCGAAUCUUUGAACGCACAUUGCGCCCCCUGGUAUUCCGGGGGGCAUGCCUGUUCGAGCGUCAUUUCACCACUCAAGCCUCGCUUGGUAUUGGGCAUCGCGGUCCGCCGCGCGCCUCAAAUCGACCGGCUGGGUCUUCUGUCCCCUAAGCGUUGUGGAAACUAUUCGCUAAAGGGUGUUCGGGAGGCUACGCCGUAAAACAACCCCAUUUCUAAGGUUGACCUCGGAUCAGGUAGGGAUACCCGCUGAACUUAAGCAUAUCAAUAAGCGGAGG